ACGCGUUGGGAGCUCUCCCAUAUGGUCGACCUGCAGGCGGCCGCGAAUUCACUAGUGAUUCGUAUUACCGCGGCUGCUGGCACAGAGUUAGCCGGUGCUUAUUCUGUCGGUAACGUCAAAACACUAACGUAUUAGGUUAAUGCCCUUCCUCCCAACUUAAAGUGCUUUACAAUCCGAAGACCUUCUUCACACACGCGGCAUGGCUGGAUCAGGCUUUCGCCCAUUGUCCAAUAUUCCCCACUGCUGCCUCCCGUAGGAGUCUGGACCGUGUCUCAGUUCCAGUGUGACUGAUCAUCCUCUCAGACCAGUUACGGAUCGUCGCCUUGGUGAGCCAUUACCCCACCAACUAGCUAAUCCGACCUAGGCUCAUCUGAUAGCGCAAGGCCCGAAGGUCCCCUGCUUUCUCCCGUAGGACGUAUGCGGUAUCAGCGUCCGUUUCCGAGCGUUAUCCCCCACUACCAGGCAGAUUCCUAGGCAUUACUCACCCGUCCGCCGCUCUCAAGAGGUGCAAGCACCUCUCUACCGCUCGACUUGCAUGUGUUAGGCCUGCCGCCAGCGUUCAAUCUGAGCCAUGAUCAAACUCUAAUCGAAUUCCCGCGGCCG
rnacentral:rRNA from 1 species